rnacentral:misc_RNA from 1 species
GUAUCAUUUGUGGGGGGCGCGUGAGUUUCCUGGAGGCUUUCCAUAGUGAGUAGUUGGAGUCGGCUGUGGGGGACAAGCUGGCGAGAUAUUUGUGAAAACGACCAUUAUUGUAGUUUUUUAUGGUUUUGGAUAGUUUUCUAGUUGCGUUGUUUAGUUUGCGUUUGUCCUCCGGUGUUCUAUGGGUCUGCCAUAUCCUUCUUAGUCUACGUUUUUCUGCUAUUUUUUUUAAUAUCGAGAUAUUUGUGAAAACGGUCAUUAUUGUAGUUUUUUAUGGUUUUGGAUAGUUUUCUAGUUGCGUUGUUUAGUUUGCGUUUGUCCUCCGG